UACAGAGACCUCAAGCGUUAUCCGGAAUCAUUGGGCGUAAAGCGUACCGAUAGGUGGUUUUACAAGUCAGAAGUGAAAUCUCAAGGCUUAACCUUGAGUCUGUCUUUUGAAACUGUAAAACUAGAGGGGCAAAGAGGAAGCUGGAACGAACGGUGUAGUAGUGAAAUGCGUUGAUAUCGUUCGGAACACCAAUAGCGUAGGCAAGCUUCUGGGUGCCACCUGACACUGCUAGGACGAAAGCGUGGGGAGCGAAUGGG
rnacentral:rRNA from 1 species